AUAUAAUACAACCUGCUAAGUGUUCUAGCACUUAGCACGUUGUAUUAUUAUU
rnacentral:pre_miRNA from 1 species